rnacentral:rRNA from 1 species
GAUGAACGCUGGCGGCGUGCCUAAUACAUGCAAGUCGAGCGAACAGAUGAGGAGCUUGCUCCUCUGACGUUAGCGGCGGACGGGUGAGUAACACGUGGAUAACCUACCUAUAAGACUGGGAUAACUUCGGGAAACCGGAGCUAAUACCGGAUAAUAUAUUGAACCGCAUGGUUCAAUAGUGAAAGACGGUUUUGCUGUCACUUAUAGAUGGAUCCGCGCCGCAUUAGCUAGUUGGUAAGGUAACGGCUUACCAAGGCAACGAUGCGUAGCCGACCUGAGGGGUGAUCGGCCACACUGGAACUGAGACACGGUCCAGACUCCUACGGGAGGCAGUAGUAGGGAAUCUUCCGCAAUGGGCGAAAGCCUGACGGAGCAACGCCGCGUGAGUGAGGAAGGUCUUCGGAUCGUAAAACUCUGUUAUUAGGGAAGAACAAAUGUGUAAGUAACUAUGCACGUCUUGACGGUACCUAUCAGAAAGCCACGUCUAACUACGUG